CCUACGGGAGGCAGCAGUCGAGAAUCAUUCACAAUGGGGGAAACCCUGAUGGUGCGACGCCGCGUGGGGGAAUGAAGGUCUUCGGAUUGUAAACCCCUGUCAUGUGGGAGCAAAUUAAAAAGAUAGUACCACAAGAGGAAGAGACGGCUAACUCUGUGCCAGCAGCCGCGGUAAUACAGAGGUCUCAAGAGUUGUUCGGAAUCACUGGGCGUAAAGCGUGCGUAGGCUGUUUCGUAAGUCGUGUGUGAAAGGCGGGGGCUCAACCCGCGGACGGCACAUGAUACUGCGAGACUAGAGUAUAGGAGGGGGAAGCGGAAUUCGCGGUGUAGCAGUGAAAUGCGUAGAUAUCGAGAGGAACACUCGUGGCGAAGGCGGGUUCCUGGACAUUAACUGACGCUGAGGCACGAAGGCCAGGGGAGCGAAAGGGAUUAGAUACCCUGGUAGUC
rnacentral:rRNA from 1 species